rnacentral:rRNA from 1 species
CCUACGGGAGGCUGCAGUGAGGAAUAUUGGUCAAUGGGCGGAAGCCUGAACCAGCCAAGUAGCGUGCGGGAUGAAGGCCCUACGGGUCGUAAACCGCUUUUGCACGGGGAUAACACCCUCCACUUGUGGAUUUCUGCAGGUACCGUGCGAAUAAGGGCCGGCUAAUUCCGUGCCAGCAGCCGCGGUAAUACGGAAGGCCCGAGCGUUAUCCGGAUUCAUUGGGCUUAAGGGGAGCGUAGGUGGGCGUUAAAGUCAACUGUAAAAUCGCGCGGCUCAACCGCGCACCGCAGUUGAAACUGGAAGACUUGAGUACAGAGCAGGCAGGCGGAAUUCGUGGUGUAGCGGUGAAAUGCAUAGAUAUCACGAGGAACCCCGAUUGCGAAGGCAGCCUGCCGGGGUGCGACUGACGCUGAGGCUCGAAGGUGCGGGUAUCAAACAGGAUUAGAUACCCUUGUAGUC